AUCAACCAAACUGUGCAAAGCAAAGAAAGAUAACAAAUGUUUCCACUCAGUUUCUAUCCAUUUAAACAAUCCAAGUCUAAAUUGUGAAGUCAGCAAAGUUUAUUUUCAUUAUGUACAACCUUCUGUGGUUUGCAGAAAAUGCAAAAUUCUCCCUCUGAGGCUUACUACCUGUGUAACUUGGAAAUCAGCAGAUAUGUGCCUGGGGUGAAGGACCGUCAAUUCAUCUGUGGAGGGGUGGCUGUGUCACCCCUGGAAUGCUUCAAGACUGCAAUGAGGAAAACUUUCCACUAGUACCACAGAAGAUGGAUGCACUCCAUUUCUGGAAAGCAUCUUAAAAAGAACAGAUCAAAACUCAAAAGACCAAGAGCAGAAGACAUAAUUGUAGUCAGAUCCCUCUGACAAUGAAAACCAUGUUCUGAAGUUACAUCAUAAUAGGAAUCUGGAAGAAUCAUGUUGUGCCUCAGUUUCCUCACUUUAAAAGUUGUUGCCCUCCUUCUAGGUCUGUGUAACACUUCAUUUACAGCUUCCAACAGUUUGGGUAAUAGUGGAAAUAUGUGAAUAAAGCACUUAAAGGGUUCCA
rnacentral:lncRNA from 1 species